rnacentral:lncRNA from 1 species
AAACGUUUUCUGCAAUAUCUGUUUUGCUGCAAAAUUCUAAUGUCUGCACGUUUUGUACAGAAUUUAUUGUUCUUAAUUGAACUUAAGAAGAGGUAUUGGUCGUAGGAAACUGGGUUAAUUAAUAUUUGUUCUGUUGAGUCUAUCUUAGGGAUACAAAACUGAAUUGGGACAAGCUUAUUAUUAUUUUUCUUUUUAAUACUUAUACUUCUGCAUAAUAGUUCUAAUCUUAUGAAGCUUAUCUGUUUUAGAAUGAUAAGCUUAAGGUUGAGUUUAGAGGACCUGGGCUGUAAACAACAGACAUAAGCUUGGCUUUGCACUUAAGUGAAUUAAUCUACUCAAAUAUGCAUGCAGAAGUAGGGAGCAUGAUUCUAUUUUCAAGUUGUUUGGUCACUAGGCUUAGAGUUUAAAACUUGCAUGCAGAAGUAGGGAGCAUGAUUCUAUUUUCUACAUAAUUGCCGGUGUUGCAGUUUUGGAUGAUAAUUUUAGUUUAAUUUUGGUUUGAAGUUUUUUAAUAUUUUAGAAUGAUAUGGUUGGUUUAAACUGCUGCCACUUUCCUGCUAUCAGUAUAAAGCCAAGCCAAGGUGAAGGCCGUUACAAUUUUUGUUUCUUGUCUUUCUAUUGUGUAGAUCAAGGUUAUGAACUUUUUUUCUUAUUUCAUUUGGUUCCUUAUCUAAGUUUCUAUGAUUUGUGUUCUCUAUGGUUGCUUCUACCAUGGCAUUUACUAGACUGAUUUGGUCUUUUCAACUGUGAUAAUUGGUUUGAAGGCCAAAAGAUCAGAACGAUCCAUUUGGUCAGUUUGGCCCUGUCAAGGAUGUUUAGGACACAAUUUUUACCAUAUCAUGUAAAAAUAUUUAUCUACCAUUUAAUUUUUUCUGUGAUGUUCCUCUAGACUUAUAAUAUAAAUAUGUCUGUAAGUAUGCUGCUGACAUGUUUAAUAUUAAAUUUGGAAGCAUUUGGUGGUAAGUAAAUUGUCGAAUAUAUUAUAAAGUGUUGUUUUAUAAUGAGUAUUAUAAUUUGUAUUGCACAAGCUCUAAAGAGUGAUGAAUAGAUCUAUCAAACAAGCUACAGAAAGCUGACAUUAGAGGAAAAAAAACCAGACCUAAUAUUUAUUUUGGAUGAUGAGAUAAGAUAGAAUUGCAGAUCGGUGGAUUUGGAAGCAUGCUACUGGUGGUGGUUACACGGUCAGCAGCGCGUACAAAUUGCUCACUACUGUGGUCCCUCCACAGUUCAAUCUCCUCCACCGCCGUUCAUUCUCCUUCACAGUUUAAUCUCGAACCACAAUCCGUCAAACCCUCCGCAGUCGAAGAACUACAACCCCUCCUCCGUUCUCUGUUGUUCUCUGCAUUUCCAAGGUAUGGAGUAACUUCAUCUCUCUACCGUUCCAAUGUAUUGAUUGAUUGCAUGUUGUUUCUCUUUAGCUUGCUUCUAUACUGUGUUUUCUAACUAAUGGGUCAAACAAGAGAUGAACUUGAUGACAACACAAUAAUUUUUUAGUUAACCUUUGUGAAGUUCAAUUUGUAAUUUGUGGAAUAUAGUGAGGCUUAAUUGAGAAAUUAGAGUUAAUUCCUUUUGUUUGUCUUUUAUAUAAGGGAAUAAAUACAAUUGUGGAUACGCAAUAGAGG